CCAAUGACCGGUAUUAAAAACUAGAAUAUCAGAAUGAAUCCAUUCCUUGUUUAUGUUAUCCAACUUAUCAAGCAUUAGUGCUUUCUUGAUCCUCUUUGGAGAACGUUUUGGUGGCGAUCCAGGUUGUACUAGGAAAAUUGACCUAUAAAACUCAACUGUAAAAUUAAAGGAUCUAAAUCGAACUUGUAAAUGCCUAAUCUGUCUAGUGAUCUUUCUUCCUUUGACUAGAAUAUCAGAAUGAAUCCAUUCCUUGUUUAUGUUAUCCAACUUAUCAAGCAUUAGUGCUUUCUUGAUCCUCUUUGGAGAACGUUUUGGUGGCGAUCCAGGUUGUACUAGGAAAAUUGACCUAUAAAACUCAACUGUAAAAUUAAAGGAGCUAAAUCGAACUUGUAAAUGCCUAAUCUGCCUAGUGAUCUUUCUUCCUUUGACUUCAUAUACACUCUUCUUGUCCUCAACACCAGUCAUCAAUAUGCAUAUCAUAGACUCCCAUUGAGUCCUACUUAAUGAAUCACCAACAAAGACAAUUCUUUUUCCCCUUAACUUUUCCAAGAUUACAUAGACAUCAAAUCUUGGAAUUUCACAAUUCCUAGGUUUCCACCUCCACUUGAGAUACUCUUUAUCCUUCCUACCAUUAUCUAAACAACUAAAACCUUGUUCAGCAAAUGGACAUUCUGAUGCAUUGUACAAAGGAUAACUUUCAUCAGGCACCCAAUUUCCAACAAAUAAAUUGCAUUCACCACUAAAGUUAGUAUUUGUUCUAUUAUCUCCUGAAUUUUCAUCAAGAACAAUUGGUUGUGGAAAAGAAUUUGUAUUGUAGAAAUAACCAGACCCUAUUGCCACAAGAAACAACAAUAAUAAGGAUCCAAUUACAAGGACCCUAUUGAAAGAAUGAAAAACCCAAGUUUGACAAUGCUUCAACUUGCCAAAGUUCAAAUCUUUAGGCCUAAAAUGGCCGGAAGAACUCAACUUCAACCUAUUCACCAUCUAUAUGAACACCAAGAAUGAACAUUAAGUAGUAAAACAGACCUUAUAGCAACGGACAAAUUAAGCUAUAUCUCCAAACAAAGAUGAAAAAUCAAGAUUUCGAAGAGAACCCACGAAGCUAAACAGCUUUAUAGAGCUGAGUAUUAGCAAACAAGAAUGAGAAGUAUAAAACUGUAAAUGGAUCUUGAAGCUUCUUCAGUUGUAGUUGGUGAUUAGGACAUGCAGGGGAAAAUAUGGUUAAGAACGGAGGGUAAGUAUGUCAUUUCAAGCUCAAAGUGGCUUUGACUUGUCCGAAUGUGAUC
rnacentral:lncRNA from 1 species